rnacentral:rRNA from 1 species
GACGAACGCUGGCGGCGUGCUUAACACAUGCAAGUCGAACGAAGAGGCGAACGGGUGAGUAAUACGUGGGUAACCUGCCCUCCUUUUUGGGAUAAGCCUUGGAAACGGGGUCUAAUACCGAAUAAAGGGGGAUGGGCUCGAGGCCUAUCCGCUGGUUGGUGGGGUGAUGGCCUACCAAGGCGGUGACGGGUAGCCGGCGUGAGCGGGGGACCGGCGACAUUGGGACGGCGCAACGGCCCAGACGCGUAAGCGAGGCAGAAGUGGGGGAUAUGGCACAAUGGGUGAAAGACCGAUGCAGCGUCGCCGAGUGGGGUAUGAGGGUUGUAGGGCUGUAAUCCUCGUGCGGUACCGAAAGGGUAGGUGGAGAAGAAGCGCCGGCUAACUACGUGCCAGCAGCCGCGGUAAUAC